rnacentral:piRNA from 1 species
UACCAAAUGGAAAUCAAAAUCCAGGACUGC